AAAGGCUCUCACUUUGGUAGCAGAUAUUGGAAUGAUACAGAGAUUAGCAUCACACCUGCACAAGGAUGACAUAAAAAUUAGUGAAAUGUACCAUGUUUUU
ensembl:snRNA U6 U6 spliceosomal RNA